rnacentral:lncRNA from 1 species
UUCCCUUCCGCUCUCCUCCCUGAUCUGGAGAGGCACCCGUACGCAGCCGUCGACGCCGCCUCGUCGUUGACAUGCUCCGGCACCACCCCGUCCCGCUCGAAGGCGCCCAGGAGCUGCGCCUCGACGUCCUCUACCUCCAGGACAACACUCACGAGCAGGGAUGUACUGUACGGUCGCCAUCGAGCUCAUCUCCGCGUACAUCGUCGCCGUCCGCCGUCGUUUGCCGCUACUCUGGUCCGUUCCCGGCCACCCCAACCACGUCCCCGAGUCCACUGUGAGCUCCUCUGCCCACACCCCUGCUCACCCCCUCGAUCCGUCGCCGUUUAGUCGCCCGCACUUUGGCCGCCAUGGCCGGAGUUCGAGCUCCCGUGCGUGCCCGCGCUGCUGCUGCUCUGGAACCACUGCUGCCUGCCGCCCCCUGCGCGCGCCAUCCGCCCGUGGCCGCGCCCCUACGCCUGCAGGCGGCUGCCGCGCUGCCCGCGGCUCCUCUUGCCGCCGCUCCUACUCCAUGUGGCUGCUUGCUGCUGGUCUUUUGCUACUGCUCCUUAGCGCCGCUGCUUCUGUUGCCGCGGUUGCCUGCUGCGUUGCUGCUCCCGCUAGAUGCUGCUAGGAACUUGCCGCUGCUACUACUGCCCCUCUUGCCGUUGCUAGCCAUUGAUUGAUUCCACCGCCAUAGUUGUUUCUGCUGUUGGUUGAGGCUGCUGGCACAUUCAGGCCUCAUGUGUCGUGUGUAUCCAUAGCCCUGUGCCUUUGUGCAUGGCCGUGUGGUGGCCGGCCUGAUAGUUUAAUUUAGUUAGACUACUAAUUAGUGAUUAGGUAUAGCCAGAUGACAUGUGGCCCCUGCUGAUAAUUAAAGGUUAAAUCAAAAAAAUAAGCCUAUGACAUGCGGGACACACUUCUAUUCUUCACAUGUUGACUAGUCAACUGUUGACUAGGUCAACCUAGCCACUGGACCCCAUUUGCAAGCCACUGUAGCUAAACUGUUGUUGUUUGCACUUAGCCUUUUCUUUUAAAAUCGAAUUAAAACAAAUUCUGAAAAUGCAAUAAACUUCGAUAAUUCGUAGAAAGUAAACUAUAGCUCGGAUGAAAAUAAUUUGUAUAUGCAAAACGAUCAGAAAAAUAAGUUGAUUCUGUUUACGCCAUCCAUAUACCUGUCACAUGUCUCUAACACAACAAACAUGGAACCUUCCCCUCCGGAUCGCCCAUCCGAUAAUUUCCCAGAGCCGGGGAAAUAUUCCCGGAUAUUUUCCGCUCCAUAUGUAACGCGUAGCACUACGUUAGGUUGCCCAUAGCACAACGUUCAUGUAUUGCUUUGUGAUGCGAUUGUUUGCUCCGUUAUUUAUUGUGUUCCUCCUCCGUUACUUCCUUUCCGGUAGACCCCGCGACCGUUGUCGAACUGGUGAUUGACN